AUUGAACGCUGGCGGAAUGCUUUACACAUGCAAGUCGAACGGCAGCACGGAGAGCUUGCUCUCUGGUGGCGAGUGGCGAACGGGUGAGUAAUAUAUCGGAACGUGUCCAAUAAUGGGGGAUAACGAGUCGAAAGAUUCGCUAAUACCGCAUACGCCCUACGGGGGAAAGCAGGGGAUCGUAAGACCUUGCGUUAAUGGAGCGGCCGAUAUCUGAUUAGCUUGUUGGUGAGGUAAAGGCUCACCAAGGCGACGAUCAGUAGCUGGUUUGAGAGAACGACCAGCCACACUGGAACUGAGACACGGUCCAGACUCCUACGGGAGGCAGCAGUGGGGAAUUUUGGACAAUGGGGGCAACCCUGAUCCAGCCAUUCCGCGUGAGUGAAGAAGGUCUUCGGGUUGUAAAGCUCUUUCGCAAGGGAAGAAAACUUAUGAUCGAAUAAAUCAUGAGGUUGACGGUACCUUGAUAAGAAGCACCGGCUAACUACGUGCC
rnacentral:rRNA from 1 species